ACUCGUUUCUAGCAGUUCAUUGUUAUUAAAGUGAAGUAUUUUUCCUAUGACAUACGUUGUGCGCGUCGAAAUACGUAAUUUUACAAGCUGCGCCAUCUCUGGCGCACAAAAAUAUAGGAAAAGAACCAGAAACAACAUAUCAAAAAACAAAACCGAGGAAAAGCUGUUUAUUGCAUCCUCUUAUGUUGUGGUAGCUGCGGAAAAAGAAUUCUGAAUCCUGAAAGCCCUCAGAUGCGUGCACAUUUACGAACUUUCACUCCCCCAAAUAGAACCAACUUUUGUAUCUGUGGAUUUUCAACUGACUCAAAAUUCCUAAGCAACACAUACCUACAAAUAGCAAUAAAUUUAUAAAAAUAAAGAUUAAGACCGAUAAGAUACGUCGCCUUCAGAAAAAGUGGCAAUUGCAUUUUAUGUAUUUUCCGCAAAAGUUUAAUCGUCCGUAACAUUACAAAAUGGUUCUGUAAUCAAAACAAAAUCUAUAAAUUCAGAAACAUUGGCGAUAUUAACGAGUUUAGACCUACAUGUGUGAAGACAUGAAAAUAAUCCUUUUACUUACUUUCCUACUUGUCAGGGUGUUACUAAAGCAGGUGCCUCUCGACAUGAACAACAUUUUUUUUGACGCAAUCUCUGAUGAGGACAACGAAGAGUGCAGGGAGAAGUCCGAGGUAUCGCGACCUUACUUGAGCGAAUCGCUACAGGCCACAACACUUCCUUUUGAUCCAAGUUU